UGUUUAGAACUCAAAGAACUUGGCGGUGUUUUAGCCAGCUAGGGGAACCUGUCCUUUAAUUCGAUAAUCCACGAAAAUCUUACCUGUUCUGGUUUUCAGUUUGUAUACCGUCGUCGAAAGCUGGCACCAAAAGGGGUUAGAAGCUAGCAAGAAAGAUUUUUCUCUUGUAAGUCAGAUCAAGGUGCAGCCUAUGAAUAGGGAGGAGAUGGGUUACAAUUAAUAAUUUCUAUUGGAGUUCUAAUGAAAUUUAGUUAAUGGAAAGAGGACUUAGCAGUAAUUUCUUAGUUAAAGUUAAGAGAUGAAGUAGGCUCUAGAGCGUGUACAAAUCGCCCGUCAC
rnacentral:rRNA from 1 species